GUGCCUAAAACUAACAGUAAGGAAAACCGUACAACCUUGCUAACAGCUCGGUUGAUGUGCUUCAAGGCAGUGAAGUGGAUUCUCAUUUCAUGAAGCGCCAAUUUUUGAAUGGGCACAGGUCGUCCCUUUGAACUCAGGCGCACUCACUACUUUUCGAGGCGUAGAGUUUGGGUGAAGCGAUCUGCCCG